CAAUAGCGUAUAUUUAAGUUGUUGCAGUUAAAAAGCUCGUAGUUGGAUUUCGGAUGGGAUCUGCCGGUCCGUCUUUGAGAUGUGUACUGGUAGGUCCUAUCUUGUUGUCGGGGACUAGCUCCUUGGAUUCACUUCCUGGGACUAGGAGCUGACGAGGUUACUUUGAGUAAAUUAGAGUGUUCAAAGCAAGCCUACGCUCUGAAUACAUUAGCAUGGAAUAACACGAUAGGACUCUGGCUUAUCUUGUUGGUCUGUGAGACCAGAGUAAUGAUUAAGAGGGACAGUCGGGGACAUUCGUAUUUCAUUGUCAGAGGUGAAAUUCUUGGAUUUAUGAAAGACGAACUUCUGCGAAAGCAUUUGUCAAGGAUGUUUUCAUUAA
rnacentral:rRNA from 1 species